GUUGGGGAAGUUAAAUUGGUCUAACAAGGAGCCUAAAACCCCUCAGAUUAAGGUUCGACUCCUUACCUCAACU
rnacentral:tRNA from 1 species